rnacentral:rRNA from 1 species
UGCGCAGGUGGGUUGGCAAGUUCGAUGUGAAAGCCCCGGGCUUAACCCGGGAAUGGCAUUGGAUACUGCUGAUCUGGAGGGGUCGGGAGGGGGGGACUGGAAUUCUUGGUGUAGCAGUGAAAUGCGUAGAUAUCAAGAGGAACACCAGUGGCGAAGGCGAGUCCCUGGACGAUACCUGACACUGAGGCACGAAAGCCAGGGAGCAAACA